UAUUCUCUGUCAACCAUAUAAAAAAAAAAAGCCCUUGGCAAAUGCAGCUAGCCAAAUUAAAUUAAGAAUUUCAAAACCCUCUUUUCUCUAUUUGUCAUUAUGUCUCUCUCUCUCUGGAUAAGAAGCUUUUGUACUUUAACACGUAAAAAUUGAUCUUUUAUAAUUAACGAUCAACAUUUUAUGUGUUGUUUGAUGCAGUGCACCUGUCGGCGUCCUAUAGGCUAUAGACAUUCUUCUAAUAAAUGAUUGAGCUUUCGUUUAGGAUUUAUUAUUUCCAUAGAUGCUCAUAUAUUUUUGUGUUCUUCAAGUUGCUAGUAUGUAUGUGAGAUGACCAUUCGUUGGCUAGAUACAAUUCUAUGUUAAAGAAGUAAAGGGGGAAAAAAAGAGGCUAGAUACUAUGUUGCUAGGAACAAUUUGGGGCCAUUCGUUUCCAUUUUAAUGCAAAACUAUUUUUGUUGCAAGUUGCAACAUGAAGAAACUUGCUCUUUUACAAUAAAAACCGAGUGCAACAUAUAUGAAAGGUGACAGAAGAGAAAACAAUCAACAUCUUGUUGCCACCACCUGCAGACUCAGACAGGGAUGGCAAUGGAUUGUGUUCGGGUUAUCUAUUUAAAUUGGUAUUGUGUUCAUCUCAACUUACAAAUUAAUUAAUUAAUAUGCAAGUCAAUGUAAAAUAAUAAUACAUGAACUCAUACUAUUCAUAUUUGUGUGAUGUCUGAAGUUAUCAGCCUAGAGUUCACUUAGGUUAAAAAUGACUCUCAAUCAUCACUUCAACCCCUUUUCUAAUCUUUUCACCUGUCUAAAAUAGUUUGCACUUAUUAGAUCUCAUGUUUUCAUGUUGAGCAAUGGUUUGAGGAGUCUCGUCUUAUAGUUUAUAUGUGAGAGGUUAAUGUUAGAGUUUUGAGACUCUUGUCCCACAUCGGAGAAAACAAGAUUCCCAAUAACCUUUAUAUAUGUUUUGUCUUCUACAAUAU
rnacentral:lncRNA from 1 species